rnacentral:rRNA from 1 species
AGUGAACGCUGGCGGUAGGCCUAACACAUGCAAGUCGAACGGCAGCACAGUAAGAGCUUUCGCGGACGGGGGGGGAGGGGCGGACGGUGGGUAAAUACAGCGUAAUCUACUUUCUCGUUGGGGAUAACCGAGGGAAAGUGAGGCUAAUACGGGAUACGACCGACGUGUGGAAGCAUGGGUUUGGGGGAGCUUGCGCGUUGGAGGGGGAUGGGGUCGUGUCGGCUUAGCUGGUUGGUGGAGUGAAGGCCUACCAACGAGGCGUUGCGUAGCUGGGCUGCGAGGAUGAUCGGCCACAAUAGAACUGAUACACGGUCCAGACUCCUACGGCAGGCAGCAGUGGGGAAUAUUGGAGCAUGGGCGCCAGCAUGAUCCAGCAAUACCGCGUCGGUGAAGAAGGACUUCUGGUUGUAGAGACCUUCUGUCGGGAAAGAAAAGCAGCAGGCUCAUAUCUCGGUGUUCUGACGGUACCCAAAGAAUAAGCACCGGCUAACUUCGUG